AUGGCGACCGGCGCACGGGUGAGUAACACGUAUCCAACCUGCCGAUAACUCUGGAAUAGCCUUUCGAAAGAAAGAUUAAUACCGGAUAGUAUACGAAUAUCGCAUGAUAUUUUUAUUUAAAGAAUUUCGGUUAUCGAUGGGGAUGCGUUCCAUUAGGCAGUUGGUGGGGUAACGGCCCACCAAACCUUCGAUGGAUAGGGGUUCUGAGAGGAAGGUCCCCCACAUUGGAACUGAGACACGGUCCAAACUCCUACGGGAGGCAGCAUG
rnacentral:rRNA from 1 species